GAAAGAUCGCCGUUAUGAAAAUAGCACUGAAAGAAUGAUUCCGUACCGAAAAAUACCAUUCCGUUAACUUUUGUAAUGAACCAGCCAUUUUCCUCUUUAUUGGAUAAAGUGAAGUGUCUCUUUCACCCUCGUCUUCUUCAAUAUCCUUCUUCCUUGCACCUGGCCAAAACUCGCCAGCGGGAGCAGCGGCGCGGCGCAGACGUGGCCAGAGCUUGCCGACCCGGCGCGAGCGCGGCAGGCCAGCGGUCCC
rnacentral:lncRNA from 1 species